rnacentral:rRNA from 1 species
CUACGGGUGGCAGCAGUGGGGAAUAUUGCACAAUGGGCGCAAGCCUGAUGCAGCCAUGCCGCGUGUAUGAAGAAGGCCUUCGGGUUGUAAAGUACUUUCAGCGGGGAGGAAGGGAGUAAAGUUAAUACCUUUGCUCAUUGACGUUACCCGCAGAAGAAGCACCGGCUAACUCCGUGCCAGCAGCCGCGGUAAUACGGAGGGUGCAAGCGUUAAUCGGAAUUACUGGGCGUAAAGCGCACGCAGGCGGUUUGUUAAGUCAGAUGUGAAAGCCCCGGGCUCAACCUGGGAACUGCAUCUGAUACUGGCAAGCUUGAGUCUCGUAGAGGGGGGUAGAAUUCCAGGUGUAGCGGUGAAAUGCGUAGAGAUCUGGAGGAAUACCGGUGGCGAAGGCGGCCCCCUGGACGAAGACUGACGCUCAGGUGCGAAAGCGUGGGGAGCAAACAGGAUUAGAUACCCGGGUAGUC